UGGAGACGUCGCUGCCGUGA
rnacentral:siRNA from 1 species